UGAUAUCAAGAAAAGAGACAUUUGAUGCUAUCAGGCCAUUCAAUUAAAAGAAGUAGGGUGGUCUCCUGCAGAGACCUCAGAGGCGUUUUCUCUACCGUUUCCUUCACUGUAUUUAAAGACUUGUCGGUCAUUUGGGAGCUGACUAAAGGAAAUGGAAAACCAUUUGAACGCUGUGUCCUUUUGAAGGCCAUUAGGGAAUAUGGACCCUUCUCAGAUCCACAAAGAGAAGACCCAAGUCCUGAAUGAGGAUCAUUCUUCCAUAAACAGCUAUAGGGAUCAGCUGGAACUAGUUUUAUGGCCGUCCACACCCUGAGGAUGCAGGGUACAGCCCCGAGGGAUAAAAGUGUGUCUCUGACCUCUUUUCUGAUCCAUAUCAAGCGGACGGGGAUCCGGGGACUUGGACUCCAAACUGCCCGGGUGACAUCUAAUCAAGCAUCUGUGGGAAGCCUCUGAACUAUCAGCCAGGAAACCAGGGUUAGAGCAUCAUGUUGGAACCAUCAUAUCACAUCUUUUUUUUCCCCUUUUAGGCUCAUUUAAAUCACCUUUUGCAAUGUUAACUGAAUUUUGAAAAGUUUCUGCAGAAAACCAAAGUGAAUUUUAAUUUUAAAACAUAACUGUGGGUACUUAUAGGAGCUUGCACUAAUGGGGGGGAAGUCUUAUUCAAGACAGCCACUGGAGCAGCAUGUCAGAGUCAGACUGACAGCAGCUGGCACGUUGAGCUCCGGGAAGGGGGUGAGAUACUGAA